rfam:Shimwellia blattae DSM 4481 = NBRC 105725, complete genome.
CGUAACUGGUGGCUGACGACCUGACACGGGCCGUGAGAACGCUAUUGCUUAACGCAAACAGAUACCCCGGCCCGCAGCAGCGGGCUUUUUUAU